UCGGAAUUACUGGGCGUAAAGCGCACGCAGGCGGUUUGUUAAGUCAGAUGUGAAAUCCCCGCGCUUAACGUGGGAACUGCAUUUGAAACUGGCAAGCUAGAGUCUUGUAGAGGGGGGUAGAAUUCCAGGUGUAGCGGUGAAAUGCGUAGAGAUCUGGAGGAAUACCGGUGGCGGAGGCGGCCCCCUGGACAAAGACUGACGCUCAGGUGCGAAAGCGUGGGGAGCAAACAGGAUUAGAUACCCUGGUAGUCCACGCUGUAAACGAUGUCGACUUGGAGGUUGUGCCCUUGAGGCGUGGCUUCCGGAGCUAACGCGUUAAGUCGACCGCCUGGGGAGUACGGCCGCAAGGUUAAAACUCAAAUGAAUUGACGGGGGCCCGCACAAGCGGUGGAGCAUGUGGUUUAAUUCGAUGCAACGCGAAGAACCUUACCUACUCUUGACAUCCACGGAAUUCGCCAGAGAUGGCUUAGUGCCUUCGGGAACCGUGAGACAGGUGCUGCAUGGCUGUCGUCAGCUCGUGUUGUGAAAUGUUGGGUUAAGUCCCGCAACGAGCGCAACCCUUAUCCUUUGUUGCAGCACGUAAUGGUGGGAACUCAAAGGAGACUGCCGGUGAUAAACCGGAGGAAGGUGGGGAUGACGUCAAGUCAUCAUGGCCCUUACGAGUAGGGCUACACACGUGCUACAAUGGCAUAUACAAAGAGAAGCGAACUCGCGAGAGCAAGCGGACCUCAUAAAGUAUGUCGUAGUCCGGAUUGGAGUCUGCAACUCGACUCCAUGAAGUCGGAAUCGCUAGUAAUCGUAGAUCAGAAUGCUACGGUGAAUACGUUCCCGGGCCUUGUACACACCGCCCGUCACACCAUGGGAGUGGGUUGCAAAAGAAGUAGGUAGCUUAACCUUCGGGAGGGCGCUUACCACUUUGUGAUUCAUGACUGGGGUGAAGUCGUAACAAGG
rnacentral:rRNA from 1 species